rnacentral:rRNA from 1 species
UACAGAGGGUGCAAGCGUUAAUCGGAAUUAUUGGGCGUAAAGGGCUUGUAGGCGGUUAUAUAAGUUAGAUGUGAAAACCCUGGGCUUAACCUGGGACGUGCAUAUAAUACUGUAUAACUGGAGUAUGGUAGAGGAGUAGGGAAUUCCUGGUGUAGCAGUGAAAUGCGUAGAGAUCAGGAGGAACAUCAGUGGCGAAGGCGCUACUCUGGACCAAUACUGACGCUGAGGAGCGAAGGCGUGGGGAUCAAACAGG